rnacentral:rRNA from 1 species
UACGAAGGGGGCUAGCGUUGUUCGGAAUUACUGGGCGUAAAGGGCGCGUAGGCUGUGCUGUAAGUCAGGCGUGAAAGCCCCGGGCUUAACCUGGGAACUGCAUUUGUGACUGCAUGGCUGGAGUGCGGCAGAGGGGGAUGGAAUUCCGCGUGUAGCAGUGAAAUGCGUAGAUAUGCGGAGGAACACCGAUGGCGAAGGCAAUCCCCUGGGCCUGCACUGACGCUCAUGCACGAAAGCGUGGGGAGCAAACAGG